GUGGGGAAUAUUGCACAAUGGGGGAAACCCUGAUGCAGCGACGCCGCGUGAGCGAAGAAGUAUUUCGGUAUGUAAAGCUCUAUCAGCAGGGAAGAAGAAAUGACGGUACCUGACUAAGAAGCACCGGCUAAAUACGUGCCAGCAGCCGCGGUAAUACGUAUGGUGCAAGCGUUAUCCGGAUUUACUGGGUGUAAAGGGAGCGCAGGCGGAAGGCUAAGUCUGAUGUGAAAGCCCGGGGCUCAACCCCGGUACUGCAUUGGAAACUGGUCAUCUAGAGUGUCGGAGGGGUAAGUGGAAUUCCUAGUGUAGCGGUGAAAUGCGUAGAUAUUAGGAGGAACACCAGUGGCGAAGGCGGCUUACUGGACGAUAACUGACGCUGAGGCUCGAAAGCGUGGGGAGCAAACAGGAUUAGAAACCCUAGUAGUCC
rnacentral:rRNA from 1 species